rnacentral:rRNA from 1 species
AGAGUUUGAUUCUGGCUCAGGAUGAACGCUGGCGGCGUGCCUAAUACAUGCAAGUAGAACGCUGAAGCUUGGUGCUUGCACCGAGCGGAGGAGUUGCGAACGGGUGAGUAACGCGUAGGUAACCUGCCUCUUAGCGGGGGAUAACUAUUGGAAACGAUAGCUAAUACCGCAUAAAAGUCGACAUUGCAUGAUGUUGACUUGAAAGGUGCAACUGCAUCACUAAGAGAUGGACCUGCGUUGUAUUAGCUAGUUGGUGAGGUAACGGCUCACCAAGGCGACGAUACAUAGCCGACCUGAGAGGGUGAUCGGCCACACUGGGACUGAGACACGGCCCAG